rnacentral:rRNA from 1 species
GACGAACGCUGGCGGCGUGCCUAAUACAUGCAAGUCGAACGCUGAAGGAGGAGCUUGCUUCUCUGGAUGAGUUGCGAACGGGUGAGUAACGCGUAGGUAACCUGCCUGGUAGCGGGGGAUAACUAUUGGAAACGAUAGCUAAUACCGCAUAAGAGUAGAUGUUGCAUGACAUUUGCUUAAAAGGUGCAAUUGCAUCACUACCAGAUGGACCUGCGUUGUAUUAGCUAGUUGGGGGGGUAACGGCUCACCAAGGCGACGAUACAUAGCCGACCUGAGAGGGUGAUCGGCCAAACUGGGACUGAGACACGGCCCAGACUCCUACGGGAGGCAGCAGUAGGGAAUCUUCGGCAAUGGACGGAAGUCUGACCGAGCAACGCCGCGUGAGUGAAGAAGGGUUUCGGAUCGUAAAGCUCUGUUGUAAGAGAAGAAAGAGUGUGAGAGUGGAAAGUUCACACUGUGACGGUAUCUUACCAGAAAGGGACGGCUAACUACGUG